AAACCAUGGUGGGGGCACUAUCUUAGUAAACUCUUAAAUCUGCCCAAUGUUUCAAAUAAUGAUUCUCUAUCUUCCUGAAUAAAAUUUGUGAUUUUGUUCAUCAUAU